GGGCUCACACAAGCGGUGGAGGAUGUGGCUUAAUUCGAGGCUACGCGAAGAACCUUAUCCUAGUCUUGACAUGUAUGGAUUAACCCUGUGAAAGCAGGGCCACGCCUUCGGGUGGAACAUACACAGGUGCUGCAUGGCUGUCGUCAGCUCGUGUCGUGAGAUGUCGCGUUAAGUCGCUUAACGAGCGAAACCCUUGUCUCUAGUUGCCAGCGCGUAAUGGCGGGGACUCUAGAGAGACCGCCGGCGUUAAGCCGGAGGAAGGUGGGGAUGACGUCAAGUCCUCAUGGCCCUUAUGACUAGGGCUGCACACGUCCUACAAUGGAACGCACAAAGGGAAGCGAAACCGCGAGGUCAAGCAAAUCCCAAAAAUCGUUCCCUAGUUCGGAUUGCAGGCUGCAACUCGCCUACGUGAAGGCGGAAUCGCUAGUAAUCGC
rnacentral:rRNA from 1 species